UGUGUGCCCAAGCAUUGAGGCAGUCAAAGUAGGUAAAUCCGCUUUGAUAAUGCUGGGAUGUGAUGGGGAGCGAAAUUUAGUAGCGAAGUAGCUGAUUUCACACUGUCAAGAAAAGUCUCUAUCGAGGGUAAAGGUACCCGUACCGCAAACCGACACAGGUGGGUGAGGAGAGUAUCCUAAGGCCAGCGAGAGAACUGUUGUUAAGGAACUCGGCAAAAUGACCCCGUAACUUAGGGAUAAGGGGUGCCACCAUCAGGUGGCCGCAGAGAAUAGGCCCAAGCGACUGUUUACCAAAAACAUAGGUUUCUGCUAAGUCGCAAGACGAUGUAUAGGAGCUGACGCCUGCCCGGUGCUGGAAGGUUAAGGGGAUCUGUUAGAGCAAUCGAAGCAGUGAACUUAAGCCCCAGUAAACGGCGGCCGUAACUAUAACG
rnacentral:rRNA from 1 species